ensembl:lncRNA
CAAGAAAUGAAGUCUCUGGGCGCUCUGGUUUGGGGUUGUGCCCACUACAUCUCUUCCCUUCUUCCCUAUGCCAUAUGAAGCCUUCUGUUGUUCCCACUCUCCAGAAGAAGAUUUCCCUGCAGGAUGUUGCCCUCCAGGAGCAGAUGGUUUCUCCCACUGGGCUCUGUGGCCAACAGGGAUGCUGUUAGGAAGCUUGUAGCCUGCCUCACAAUAGCCCAUGGCACAUCCUCAGGAACACCAUGAAGAACAACUUCAAGAGCAGAGAGACCUCUCCUUGGCUGGUGAUGUUUCACAAGAGCGUUAUGUACAUGUCAUGGAAGGAGGCUGGAAGAGAGAACUGAAUGAGUUCCCAGUGCACAACAUCACAUCCUCAGUCAGUC